rnacentral:rRNA from 1 species
GGAAUAUUGGACAAUGGGCGAAAGCCUGAUCCAGCAAUGCCGCGUGAGUGAUGAAGGCCUUAGGGUUGUAAAGCUCUUUUACCAGGGAUGAUAAUGACAGUACCUGGAGAAUAAGCUCCGGCUAACUCCGUGCCAGCAGCCGCGGUAAUACGGAGGGAGCGAGCGUUGUUCGGAAUUACUGGGCGUAAAGCGCGCGUAGGCGGCUUUUCAAGUCAGGGGUGAAAUCCCGGGGCUCAACCCCGGAACUGCCCUUGAAACUGGAUGGCUAGAAUACUGGAGAGGUGAGUGGAAUUCCGAGUGUAGAGGUGAAAUUCGUAGAUAUUCGCAAGAACACCAGUGGCGAAGGCGGCUCACUGGCCCGGUACUGACGCUGAGGUGCGAAAGCUAGGGGAGCGA